UACGUAGGGUGCGAGCGUUGUCCGGAAUUAUUGGGCGUAAAGAGCUCGUAGGCGGUCUGUCGCGUCGAUCGUGAAAAACUUGGGGCUUAACCCUGAGCUUGCGGUCGAUACGGGCAUGACUGGAGUUCGGCAGGGGAGACUGGAAUUCCUGGUGUAGCGGUGAAAAUGCGCAGAUAUCAGGAGGAACACCGGUGGCGAAGGCGGGGUCUCUGGGGCCCG
rnacentral:rRNA from 1 species